UUGCUACCAAAGUGGAUAACCUCACAUUUAUCCACAUUAAAUUGCAUUUUCCAUGCAUCUGCCCACUCACUCAACCUGUCCAAGUCACCCUGCAUUCUCAUAACAUCCCCCUCACAGUUGACACUGCCACUCAGCUUUGU